CCUACGGGAGGCAGCAGUGGGGAAUAUUGCACAAUGGGCGCAAGCCUGAUGCAGCCAUGCCGCGUGUGUGAAGAAGGCCUUCGGGUUGUAAAGCACUUUCAGCGGGGAGGAAGGCGUUAAGGUUAAUAACCUUGGCGAUUGACGUUACCCGCAGAAGAGGCACCGGCUAACUCCGUGCCAGCAGCCGCGGUAAUACGGAGGGUGCAAGCGUUAAUCGGAAUUACUGGGCGUAAAGCGCACGCAGGCGGUCUGUCAAGUCGGAUGUGAAAUCCCCGGGCUCAACCUGGGAACUGCAUUCGAAACUGGCAGGCUAGAGUCUUGUAGGGGGGGGUAGAAUUCCAGGUGUAGCGGUGAAAUGCGUAGAGAUCUGGAGGAAUACCGGUGGCGAAGGCGGCCCCCUGGACAAAGACUGACGCUCAGGUGCGAAAGCGUGGGGAGCAAACAGGAUUAGAUACCCGAGUAGUC
rnacentral:rRNA from 1 species